rnacentral:rRNA from 1 species
GAUGAACGCUGGCGGCGUGCCUAAUACAUGCAAGUCGAGCGAACAGACGAGAAGCUUGCUUUUCUGAUGUUAGCGGCGGACGGGUGAGUAACACGUGGAUAACCUACCUAUAAGACUGGGAUAACUUCGGGAAACCGGAGCUAAUACCGGAUAAUAUUUUGAACCGCAUGGUUCAAAAGUGAAAGACGGUCUUGCUGUCACUUAUAGAUGGAUCCGCGCUGCAUUAGCUAGUUGGUAAGGUAACGGCUUACCAAGGCAACGAUGCAUAGCCGACCUGAGAGGGUGAUCGGCCACACUGGAACUGGGACACGGUCCAGACUCCUACGGGAGGCAGCAGUAGGGAAUCUUCCGCAAUGGGCGAAAGCCUGACGGAGCAACGCCGCGUGAGUGAUGAAGGUCUUCGGAUCGUAAAACUCUGUUAUUAGGGAAGAACAUAUGCGUAAGUAACUGUGCACAUCUUGACGGUACCUAAUCAGAAAGCCACGGCUAACUACGUG